rnacentral:rRNA from 1 species
CACGGGUGCGUAACGCGUAUGCAACCUACCUCGUACUGGGGGAUAGCCCGAAGAAAUUCGGAUUAAGACCCCAUAGUACUUUUAAAUGGCAUCAUUUAGGAGUUAAAGGUUACGGUACGAGAUGGGCAUGCGUCCCAUUAGCUAGAUGGUAAGGUAACGGCUUACCAUGGCUACGAUGGGUAGGGGGCCUGAGAGGGUGAUCCCCCACACUGGUACUGAGACACGGACCAGACUCC